UACGUAGGGUGCGAGCGUUAAUCGGAAUUACUGGGCGUAAAGCGUGCGCAGGCGGUUCGUUGUGUCGGUGGUGAAAUCCCCGGGCUUAACCUGGGAAUGGCCAUGGAAACUGGCGAACUGGAGUGCGGCAGAGGGGGGUGGAAUUCCGCGUGUAGCAGUGAAAUGCGUAGAGAUGCGGAGGAACACCGAUGGCGAAGGCAGCCCCCUGGGCUAGCACUGACGCUGAGUGAGCGAAAGCCAGGGGAGCAAACGGG
rnacentral:rRNA from 1 species